GGCCACUGCUAUUGGGAUCCGACUAAGCCAUGCGAGUCGAGAGGGUUCGGCCCUCGGCAGACUGCUCAGUAACACGUGGAUAACCUACCCUUAGGUGGAGGAUAAUCUCGGGAAACUGAGAAUAAUACUCCAUAGAUCUAGGAUGCUGGAAUGCACCUAGAUUGAGAGCUCUGGCGCCUAAGGAUGGGUCUGCGGACUAUCAGGUUGUAGUCAGGGUAAAGACCUGACUAGCCUACGACGGAUAAGGGUUGUGAGAGCAAUAGCCCAGAGACGAUAUCUGAGACACGAUAUCGGGCCCUACGGGGCGCAGCAGGCGCGAAAUCUUCACAAUGUGCGAAAGCACGAUGAGGGGAUCCCAAGUGCUGGCACGUAAGUGUCAGCUGUUUCUUUGUCUAAAAAACAAAGAGAGUAAGAGCUGGGUAAGACGGGUGCCAGCCGCCGCGGUAAUACCUGCAGCUCAAGUGGUGGCCGCUAUUAUUGGGCCUAAAACGUCCGUAGCCGGUUUAGUAAAUGCUUGGGUAAAUUGUGUAGCUUAACUAUACGAAUACCGGGUAGACUGCUAAACUUGGGACCGGGAGAGGCUAGAGGUACUCCUAGGGUAGAGGUGAAAUUCUGUAAUCCUAGGGGGACCACCAGUGGCGAAGGCGUCUAGCUAGAACGGGUCUGACGGUGAGGGACGAAGCCCUGGGGCGCAAACCGGAUUAGAUACCCGGGUAGUCCAGGGUGUAAACGCUGCUUGCUUGAUGUUAGUUGGGCUCCGAGCCCAACUAGUGUCGGAGAGAAGUUGUUAAGCAAGCUGCCUGGGAAGUACGGUCGCAAGACUGAAACUUAAAGGAAUUGGCGGGGGAGCACAGCAACGGGUGGAGCGUGCGGUUUAAUUGGAGUCAACGCCGGAAA
rnacentral:rRNA from 1 species